rnacentral:rRNA from 1 species
UUAAGUAUAAGCAUUAUACCGCGAAACUGCGAAUGGCUCAUUAUAAUACAGUUAUCGUUUAUUUGAUAAUACCUUACUACAUGAGAUAACCGUGGUAAUUCUAGAGCUAAUACAUGCUGAAAAUCCCGACUUCGGAAGGGAUGUGUAUAUUAGUAUACAAAAACCAAUGCCCUUCGGGGCUCUUCUGGUGAAUUCAUGAAUAAACUUUAUCCGAAUCGUAUAGGCCUCCCGCUGGAGACUGGUUCAUACAAAUUUCUGCCCUAUCAACUUUCGAUGCUAGGUAUGGUCCUACCAUGGUCGCAGGGGUGAGGGGAGUGGGGUCUGAUCCCGGAGAGGGAGCCUGAGAAACGGACUACCACAUUCCAAGGGAAGGGCAGCCACGGCGCCGCCAAAUUCACCCCCAAAUCCCCGAACUACGGGGGGGAGGGGUAGUUGAAACAAAUAAAAAUAACUGAAUAACAGGGGCCUCUUUUUGGGGGUCCGAUAAUAGGAAUGAGUACAAUUUAAAAACCUCC